CUACGGGAGGCAGCAGUGGGGAAUUUUGGACAAUGGGCGCAAGCCUGAUCCAGCCAUGCCGCGUGCGGGAAGAAGGCCUUCGGGUUGUAAACCGCUUUUGUCAGGGAAGAAAAGCUCUGGGCUAAUACCUCGGGGUGAUGACGGUACCUGAAGAAUAAGCACCGGCUAACUACGUGCCAGCAGCCGCGGUAAUACGUAGGGUGCGAGCGUUAAUCGGAAUUACUGGGCGUAAAGCGUGCGCAGGCGGUUGUGCAAGACAGAUGUGAAAUCCCCGGGCUUAACCUGGGAACUGCAUUUGUGACUGCACGGCUAGAGUGUGGCAGAGGGGGAUGGAAUUCCGCGUGUAGCAGUGAAAUGCGUAGAUAUGCGGAGGAACACCGAUGGCGAAGGCAAUCCCCUGGGCCUGCACUGACGCUCAUGCACGAAAGCGUGGGGAGCAAACAGGAUUAGAUACCCUGGUAGUCCACGCCCUAAACGAUGUCAACUGGUUGUUGGGGAUUCAUUUCCUCAGUAACGAAGCUAACGCGUGAAGUGACCGC
rnacentral:rRNA from 1 species